CGACGACGACGACGAGCGGUCUCCAGAACUGACCUGAGCUAGUGUGAUCAGUCUGCCUGCCUCUGUGAUCCCCCGCAGCACUGGCUGGAAGUCCGCCGCGUGUCAGUGAGGAGCUGCUGCAGAAGGAAGAAGAAGAAGCAGCGUGGGGACCUGGGAGGCAGGAGCAAGCAAGAAGAGGAAGCGGAAGCGUGCAGAUGCGGGGGGGAAGGAGAGAGGCUCCCUGGGCAAAGCACCUGUCCCGUUAGCAGGGGCACAGUCACGUUUGAGUUGAGAGCUGCCGGCGCCUUUGGUGACCAGGCUGGCGUUGUGCUGGCGACCUCCCCGUAAGCGGGGCUCGGGUCUUUGCUGUAGUUGGCCUUUUGCCUUGCUGCUCCUUUGGCUGCCUGGGGAGCGUGGCCCCCUGUAACGGAGGGCGAGAGCCACCUCUCCGCACCUGAGUGGGAAAUGGAGCUCGCCGGACCCCAAGGCCACCCUGUAAGCAGGGUAGUGCCGUUUCCCUGCCCCUCUUCCUCCCCCGGCCCCUCGGCAUCGUUGCCUGAUGGUGGCUUGUCAAUGCGACGGCCCCGUACUCGGGGUGUGUGUCCCAAGCUUCGGAGCCCUCUGUCCCUGAGCAGCCCGCCCGCCCUGUAAUCAGGUGUGGGGAGGCUGCAGCGUUGCAGCCGGCUGCUUUAGCCAUCCAGCUGGUGGGAGUGACCCCUCCCUGUCCCGUCAGAGGGUGCAGGUUGAGGUGCUGUUUGUGUGUGGGGUGACCUCCCCGCUCGGUGGGUCGAGGUAGCUCCCUGGGCUUCCAAAGACGAGACGUUGGUGAUGUUCUGGUGCUGCCGGGCGGGCCAGCCUGUAACUCAGGCGUUGGCGGGAGCCUCGUGCUCCGCGGGGCUUCUUGAAGAGGGUGAGGUGUGGGGGUACCGUCCUGUAGGCAGGGCUGUGUGUGCCCCCCGUGUGUGCUUGGUGAGCUGCGUUCUGAGAGACCCCCUGUACUCAGGUGGGAAUGUGGCCCCGGCCUUUCAGAGGCGCGGGGCCGUGAGAUGCGGGGUGGGGCUUGCGCCCUCCCUGGAAUCGGGGCUGGGAUCCCGACUGCGGCCUUUGGCCGUGCCGCCCCGCUGCCUGGCUGCUGAGAGUUGCUCCUGCCGCUGGGGGGGAAACCGAGCUCUGUGGCUCCAGGGGUGUUGUCCACCCGCCUGUAAUCAGGGUCUGGGUGCGUGAGCGUUUGUGCUCUGCUGGCAGCCUGUGUGGGGUGACCGCCCCGCUAGCGGGGUGUGGGUCGAGGUGCCCCGGACUGGGAGAGAAGGAGCCUCCCUCGGCCGUAGGGAUGGGGGCUGCCCUGUAAGUCAGGGAGCAUCUGUGUCCCGGAGUCCCAGGCCCUUUUCGAUGGCGGCAGUGGCCGGGGGUCCCCUGUAAGCAGGGAAGCUGACUCUUUGGCUGCUGCUUUUUGUGUGCCCAGCCCCAUUUGCCCAGUCUGCCCGCCUCUGUGAUCCCCCGCAGCACUGGC
rnacentral:lncRNA from 1 species